UUUGUCUCCAGAUUUUUCUGAAAAUAUUAAUGAAGCCAGCUGGGAAGAGGAGCAGUUUGGAUGAGACUGGGAUAAGAAGUGGUUAAUAAAAUCUGGUUAUCUAUUCUGGAAAAAAUAAACAGCUGAUACCACCAUUCUGAACUAUUACAGUGAAUUCCACAUAGGCACUGAAGGUGCAAGCUUUCAUGAAUUGCUUGCCUUUGAGUCAGGUACUGUGUUAAGGACAUUAUGUUUAGGACUAGAUUUACUUCUCCAAAAAGCUAAUUCCAUGAGUUCUGGAGGUUGGGAAGUCCAAGAUAAAGAUGCCAG
rnacentral:lncRNA from 10 species